rnacentral:rRNA from 1 species
UAAGACCGGUUCUUUUCUUGACUCUUAAUAGGUCUUGGAAUAAGGGGUGGGUAAGGACGGUGCCAGCCGCCGCGGUAAUACCGGCGCCUCAAGUGGUAGUCGCUUUUAUUGGGCCUAAAACGUCCGUAGCCGGUCUGAUACAUUCGUGGGUAAAUCAACCAGCUCAACUGGUUGAAUUCUGCGAGGACGGCCAGACUUGGGACCGGGAGAGGUGUGGGGUACGCUCAGGGUAGGGGUAAAAUCCUGUCAUCCUGAGCGGACCACCUGUUGCGAAGGCGCCACACUAGAACGGAUCCGACGGUCAGGGACGAAGCCUAGGGGCACGAACCGGAUUAGAUACCCGGGUAGUCCUAGGUGUAAACGCUGUGGACUUGAUGUUGGGGGUGCUCCGAGCACUCUCAGUGUCGAAGCGAAGGUGAUAAGUCCACUGCCUGGGAAGUACGGUCGCAAGGCUGAAACUUAAAGGAAUUGGCGGG